UACGGAGGGUGCAAGCGUUAUCCGGAUUUACUGGGUUUAAAGGGUGCGUAGGUGGGUCUGUAAGUCAGUGGUGAAAUCUCCGGGCUUAACCCGGAAAUUGCCAUUGAUACUAUAGGUCUUGAAUCAUCUGGAGGUAAGCGGAAUAUGUCAUGUAGCGGUGAAAUGCUUAGAUAUGACAUAGAACACCAAUUGCGAAGGCAG
rnacentral:rRNA from 1 species